rnacentral:lncRNA from 1 species
GAUAUAAUUUGCCUUCAGUUUUGAUUUGUUUCAGGAUUCUGGCACUGAACUGAUUCAGUGGGGUAUGUCCAUAUACACAUACAGGAUCGCAAAUGUGCAGUGUUCUGGUGUCAUGUUCUAGCAUUAGUCUAACUAACAAUUUCUCAGCAUCUGAAAGUAGUUCUGUGUGUAAAGCCUGUAUGAUAAUCAAGGCAAUAAGUUCUCAAAUGGUCCUUUUACUCCUGCUUAUUUGAUUUGCUUUUAUCUUGGCAUAAUUUUCCUGCUUUUCUGUUUGUAUUGUAAGCAAAUAGUUGAAAAUUGUUCUAAUGCCUGGACUUUGGAACAAGUUACAAAUGUUUGAAAUUAUAUAAUCUCCAAGCUAGUUUGCUGUCCUUGGACUAAUUACAUACAAGUAUGAAUCUACUGCAAGGACAUCCAGAUAGCUACAGAGCUGGCAUUGUUCAAAAAACCUGAUUGAAAAUGAAACAACUUCUCCAUUUUUGGCAGAGGAUUCCUGUUGGGACAGCUUUAUCAGAAGAGAAUAAUAGUGGCUAUAUCUGUCAAACCAAGAACUUUCAUGCAUCUUGUAGUGUUAUGUAGCCUGUGGAAUGAAUUCCUCUUCCCCCUUGAGGCCAGGACUGACUCUCCUGGAAGAACUCAACCUAUAUACAGCUGUGCCAAAUGAAGGCUACCUGCCUCUGAGACUCCCACUGCUGCUUCUGUCGUUGUUCACUUGUCAGAUACAAUUUUAUUCUCAGGAUGCAAAUUCCAAUAAAGUACAAAUCUAUGUUACUGAGU